rnacentral:rRNA from 1 species
UCCACGCCCUAAACGAUGAAUGCUAGUCGUCGGGGAGCUCGUCUCUUCGGUGAUGCACUUAACAGAUUAAGCAUUCCGCCUGGGGAGUACGGUCGCAAGAUUAAAACUCAAAGGAAUAGACGGGGACCCGCACAAGUGGUGGAGCAUGUGGUUUAAUUCGAAGAUACACGAAGAACCUUACCUGGCCUUGACAUCCCGAGAACCCUUAAGAGAUUAGGGGGUGCUAGCUUGCUAGAACUCGGUGACAGGUGCUGCACGGCUGUCGUCAGCUCGUGUCGUGAGAUGUUGGGUUAAGUCCCGCAACGAGCGCAACCCUCGUCCUUAGUUGCUAACAGUUCGGCUGAGCACUCUAAGGAGACUGCCUUCGUAAGGAGGAGGAAGGUGAGGACGACGUCAAGUCAUCAUGGCCCUUACGGCCAGGG